GAAGCAGAGAUAUGUGUGUAUCGGUUUAGUGCGUUCAAAUGCACUUUUCACGAAAGAUUUCUUUGCAAUAUCCAAUUUUGGGGCAGAUGGGCAGUUGUGAUUCAUCGUCUAUUGAAUAGCUCAACAAUCAUCUUCCCCACAUUC
rnacentral:snoRNA from 1 species